rnacentral:rRNA from 1 species
UACGAAGGGUGCAAGCGUUCCUCGGAAUUCCUGGGCGUAAAGCGUGCGUAGGUGGUUCGUUAAGUCUGUCGUGAAAGCCCCGGGCUCAACCUGGGAAUGGCGAUGGAUACUGGCGGGCUAGAGUGCGGUAGAGGAGAGUGGAAUUCCCGGUGUAGCAGUGAAAUGCGUAGAGAUCGGGAAGAACAUCGGUGGCGAAAGCGCUCUACUGGACCGCAACUGACACUCAGGGACGAAAGCUAGGGGAGCGAAUGGG